UUUCUGUUAGCUUGAGGCUUGGGCCGAGAGAAAAGAGGCUGCUGAAAACCGUCUGCGUCUGUUUUCUUCAUGCUAUUGUGAACGGCCUGUGCAACUGUGAUCAGCAGCCCUGACUGGAGGAAGACUCAUUCCAAAUGCUGUGGCAGAUGAAGGCUCACAAGGAACUGAAAUAAGAAGUGGUAAAACUGCCCUCGGUUAUGGCUACAGUAUUCGAUGAGUGUAAAGGUACAGUCCAUUUCCAGAAAGCCUGACUAUGAGGCCAUCACUCUUACUCAUUGAGUACAGCUCUUUACUUUCUCCAUCGAGGCAUCCACCAAACUCUACAAAAUCUAGUUAAUUGCUCCCUUCCCUCUUCCACCAAACUUGGACUCUCUCCUUGUUUCUAUAAACCAAAAGGUAUCUGAGACAGGUCUCAAUCAAUUUAGAAAGUUUAUUUUUUCAAAGUUAAGAAUCUGCUUGUGACACAGCCUUGGAAGGUCCUGACAACAUGUACCCAAGGUAGUCAGACACAUCUUGCUUUUAUGCAUUUUAGGGAGACACGAGACAUCAAUAC
ensembl:lncRNA novel transcript